rnacentral:rRNA from 1 species
UGGGGAAUAUUGCACAAUGGGGGUAACCCUGAUGCAGCGACGCCGCGUGAACGAAGAAGGUAUUCGUAUCGUAAAGUUCUGUCCUAUGGGAAGAUAAUGACAGUACCAUAGAAGAAAGCUCCGGCUAAAUACGUGCCAGCAGCCGCGGUAAUACGUAUGGAGCGAGCGUUGUCGGGAAUUAUUGGGCGUAAAGGGUACGCAGGCGGUUUAAUAAGUCGAAUGUUAAAGAUCGGGGCUCAACCCCGCAAAGCAUUGGAAACUGAUAAACUUGAGUAGUGGAGAGGAAAGUGGAAUUCCUAGUGUAGUAGUGAAAUACGUAGAUAUUAGGAGGAAUACCAGUAGCGAAGGCGACUUUCUGGACACAAACUGACGCUGAGGUACGAAAGCGUGGGGAGCAAACAGG